rnacentral:lncRNA from 1 species
ACUCAUUCAUCUCUAGCCUUGUACAUUUUAAGUUCAUGUUUCGAAUUAUUAACUGUGAUAUUGUUCUUUUGUAUUUUUGAAUUAUGACUGUUAUGAACUUCUCAAAGAACAUAACUACAAAUAUGAAUUAUGAUUGAUCUUCCAUUAAUGGAAACUCAGUACAUAGAAUUAGAGAAUACAAAGAUAGACUUUAACAUAAAUGAGGACAGUGACAGAAAGAAAGGAUAAGGGGGGAGGCAGAUUCACAGAUGAAAUAGAGAUGAGGGAUAAAUAGACCAGAGAGAGGAUAUGUUUCUAACAAAUUCAGCUUCCCCUCAUAAUGCCCGUAUACUCUGCUAUUUAACUAAUAGUCUUUGGAGAGGCCUUGUUGUUCUCUUGCUUUCCCAGACCGGCCCAAUACUUGCAUUCUCAUCUGGCCCAACAUCUAUCUAAAGCCCAGCUUCAUUUUCUAUCAUAACAUUACCCCGUCCUCAAUAAGAACCUUGUCCUCAAGGUUCGACACAAGAAAUCCUUCAAUAAAGGAUAAUGGUAAACUAGUUGUAGCUAGAUAAACAUUCACAUGUAUAAGGCCUAGCUGGACAGUCCACUUGCAUAUCAAAAAGAAAUCAGCAGCCCCAUGUGUGCCAGCAACCCUAGUGCGGAAAAUGAUAUUUACUGCAGCGGCAUCAAUAACUAACACGAAACUUGCUAUACAUAUUUCUAUGGCGAGCUCAUCUCUAUCACAUGUAGGAAGGAGAACAAGAACCCCCUCUAUAACAAGGGCACGCUGUGCUUCUAGCAAGGCAACAAAUGCUGGGCAGUUUCUGUGGCUGCCCUUUUUCUCCAGUAUGUCAACCCAUAGGUCCAUUGUAAUUAGCUGUUCAUUUGUUCUCCUACUCAAAGUGCUGAAACGCCCCUCCAUAGACUCAACUACGCCAUUAAAUUCAGGACGAAGCUCUAGAGUUUCAAACAUCCCCAAACAAUCAGUGGAGUCAAUAUUUCUACUCCCUUUUAUUUUUCUCCGCAACUCACCUAGUGCACCAUUAACUCUAAUGCUACCUAUAGAAUGUGAUUUAUAAGGGAAUAAAAACCAAAAUAUGACAAGCCAUAUUCUAACUUGGUAAAUUCAUGAAUACUUGUUUUCCAAUCUUGAAGAUCAAGGGUGUCAACAGAGAGAGGUGCAUUGUAUAUAAAUAGCGUAGCUAUGGCAUUUAAGGUUGCUUCAAAGACACCAUCUCUGGCUUCAAGAAUUGGUACAUCCAAAGGGCCUCCUCCCGGAUCGAAGACUACAUGCAUUUCAAAAGUAACUUGGGCUCUCGGAUUUACCCCCGUUUUCCCAGCUAUGACAAUUUGAAGGACUUGUGCAGUUCCUUCUCUGUGAAAUUGUCCAGCAACAUUUAGAACUAAACCAAGAUGUGGAGCAUUAAAGUCAGUUGUUGGCCUAGUAAAAUAGCGAGCGCAAUAAUGAUGAUGCAACGAGUGCCCUAUGGAAUCCCACACAUGAGUCAUAGGGUUAGCAUAUACGAAGAAGAAAAACAUGCAAGUAGAUCCCAUCAAUGGCAGUGUCUCCAUAUUCACUGUAUAACCCAUUUGAUACUUGGACUUGAAAUGUAUUCCUGGAUUAAAUGGAAAUUGAGUCGAAAGAAGUUGGUCAAUAAAAGUGGUAUUAGUACGACAAGAUGAUUUCUCUGGAAUUACCUUGAAAUUGACCACAACUAUGGUCGAAUAAUCCUUACAAGUGUUGUCGAAUUUCAUUGAGAAAGCAAUAUGUGGUACACUCACCAUCAUUAGAAUACCUUCAUCUUUUCCAUGCUCAACAUCAAGUAUUGUUUCAUUCGAAGGCAUUUCACCUGGUGGAAUCUCAUCCUCAUUCUCCGUAAAAAAGUUAGCAAGAUAUAGAUUAACAAUAGUCUCACGCUCCAUAAAAAAAUCAGCAAGAUAUAGGUCAUCCCAGGUCUCACAAUUAAUGUGUUGUUCACUAGAGCCACGAUCAAGAGAAGAUGCAGUAACAUACCUCUCUGACAUAUCUCUAUGAACACUUUUAUCAAACUGUUGGACUUCGCUGCUUGUAGGACCUGUAGCUUCUAAAUCAGGUAUGUCGAUUGGAGCAUCUGAUUGUGCGUCGACCAGUAAAUUGGGGCAGCAGCUAUAUAACAUUGCGUCGAACACCUUAGGUGACUGAUAAUCGUCCAACUCGGGUACAAAGUGAGAGACAUAAGCAUUUGUUUCUGUGCUUUGGCACGUUGUUGUAACAAAAGAAUAUUCCUCUUCUGUUCUGGCGAAAAGUCCAUGUGACAUUUCAUCAAACACAUGCUUGGCCUCUGAGUUACCAACUUUGAAUGCAGAUUCUAACUCAUAGAAGUUGGAAUUAUGGCGUAAAUCAGCUAAAGGAGAUACCUGAGUCUUAGACGAAUUCAAAGUAGAGUGGCUAAUGUAGCUAUGAUACGCCAAGGAUGAAUCGGCAAGCCUCCUCUUCGAAUCUAUGACAGGUAGUUUCCGAAAUCGCAAAAACAAUUUCUCCUUGAAAUGGUUCCAAUCAUAGAAUUGUUUGUUGCGAAAGAGCCAAUCAAACCAAUUGAGGGCAUCACCUUCCAGGUAAAAAUAUGGAAGAGGUAACCAAUCUUCUUCGGAGAAACCCAGAAAUUUGAAGUAACGCUCCGCCCGAUAAACUCAGCCCUCUGGGUUGCCAUUGCUGAACUUAUCCAGUAUCACCACUGCCAUUGGAGUCCAAAUCGAUGAAAGCACCAAUGUUAUGAACUUCUCAAAGAACACAACUACAAAUAUGAAUUAUGAUUGAUCUUCCAUUAAUGGAAACUCAGCACAUAGAAUUAGAGAAUACAAAGAUAGACUUUAACAUAAAUGAGGACAGUGACAGAAAGAAAGGAUGGCGGGGGGGGGGGGGGGAGGGCAGAUUCACAGAAGAAAUAGAGAUGAGGGAUAAAUAGACGAGAGAGAGGAUAGGUUUCUAACAAAUUCAGCUUCCUCUCAUAAUGCCCGUAUACUCUGCUAUUUAACUAAUAGUCUUUGGAGAGACCUUGUUGUUCUCUUGCUUUCCCAGACCGGCCCAAUACUUGCAUUCUCAUCUGGCCCAACAUCUAUCUAAAGCCCAGCUUCAUUUUCUAUCAUAACAAUGACGUCGGUUAUUUUUGGAUUUGAACUACGAUGUCAGCUGUUUUAGAAUUUUGAACUAU